rnacentral:rRNA from 1 species
ACAGAAUAUUAAAGGUAACGCCUGCCCAGUGAUAAUUUUAACGGCCGCGGGAUCCUCCACCGUGCAAAGGUAGCAUAAUCACUUGUCCCCUAAAUAGUGACUAGUAUGAAUGGCCAAAUGAGGAUUUUACUGUCUCUUAUAGCUAAUCUAUGAAACUAAGCUAUCAGUACAAAAACUGAUAUAUUAACAUAAGACGAAAAGACCCUGUGGAACUUCAAGCAUAACCCAACACAAUGGGCCCCUGCUUUUAGUUGGGGCAACUUUGGAAAUAAGCAAAACUUCCAAUUCAAAUAGAGAUUAACACAUCUAUAUACACAGCACAUCGACCCAACACAUGUUGAUCAAAGAACCAAGCUACCCCAGGGAUAACAGCGCCAUCCCCUCUUAGAGCCCAAAUCGACGAGCGGGGUUUACGACCUCGAUGUUGGAUCAGGGCCCCCAAACAGUGCAACAGCUGUUAAUGGUUUGUUUGUUCAACAAUUAAAGCCCUACGUGAUCUGAGUUA